AAGGAAAGAGGUGGGGCAACCAAUCCUCCCUUGUCUACCCUAAAAAUAUCAGUUGACUGUGAUGGGGCUGAGAGAAAGCCUUUCCUGGAAGAUCUUAAAACUCAAAUAGGCUCAUGAAAGGUGUGACACAAGUGCCCUACAUAAUUAUCUAAUACACAGUGCCCCAGAUUCCCUUCUCAAUGGUUAUUGAUCAUGAAAUGAGAUUAUUAAGGAACAGAAUGAAUAUUCAAGAUCACUGGUUAUGUUAAUCAACAUAUAUUUUCAUUUUACUUUUGUAUUCAAAAUGGAGAUCACAUCAUAAGGUCCCAGUUCAGGAACCCACGACUCUGAGACACUGCAGCUAGUAAAAUCUGAUUGUCCUACGCUGUUGGAAGAAAGUUACAACAGCUCGAGGCUCACAUAUUUCAUGAAGGAGUUAGAACAGUUUGGAAAACAGUUACAACAGCCUGAGGCUCAUAGAUCUACAACUUUUUUGGAAGAAUGAUGUUUUCUUUGAAAGAAGCAGAGUAGACUCUUUUGAAGGAGGAACACAGAAGGUGAACCCAGGUUAGAUCCCGUGGUUAUUGUGAAAUAUCUAAAGAAACCAGGAUCAAUGCAUAAUUAACUUCCAAAUGAGCUGAGACUUUAAUAAUAAUAAUAAUAAUAAUAAUAAUAAUAAUAAUAACAACACAACACACCAGACAUCACAGUUGUGGAAAAGAAAAAGGUUUGGAUCAUUGAUGUUGCCAUCCCAGGUGACAGUCGCAUUGAAGAAAAACAACAGGAAAAACUCAGCCGCUAUCAGGACCUCAAGAUUGAACUUUAAAGACUCUGGCAGAAACCAGUGCAGGUGGUCCCGGUGGUGAUAGACACAUUGGGUGCCGUACCAUAAGAUCUCAGCCAGUAUUUGGAAACAAUAGACAUUGACAAAAUUACGAUCUGCCAACUGCAAAAGGCCAUCCUACUGGGAUCUGCACGCAUCAUCCGAAAAUACAUCACACAGUCCUAGACACUUAGGAAGUGUUCGACUUGUGAUUUUGUGAUACGAAAUCUAGCAUAUCUAUCUUGUUUGCUGUGACAUAAUAAAAUAAUAAUAGUAAUAAAUAAUUUUAUUUCUAACCUGCCCUCUUUCCACAGAGGGACUCAGGGUGGCUUACAAAGACAAAAACAAAUUUGUCAAUAAAACAACGGUAAACUAACAAUUAAAAGAAAAGCAUUAAAAUUCACACUAACACAGUAAUCAUUAAAGCAAUAGACGAUAGGUUCUACAAAUAGCAUAACAGAAUGAUAAAAACCAACAUAAAAAUCUAUAUAUAUAAAAUGAUAAAGUUGUUUGCGCAGUGACUAUAACAACAAAACUAAACAUCCCAGAAAUACGAAAUUUGGCAACACAAUGCAAAAGGCUUGCCUCCAGGUUACAACAACACAACCACACCACAAAACCACAAUCCAGACCCACAAAACUCACAACAACGCAUCAUGCGAUAACAACACAACUAAACGCCCCAGAAAUACAAAACUUGGCAACACAAGGCAAAAGCCUUGCCUCCCAGUUGUAACAACACAACCACACCACAAAACCACACAGGACCCACAAAACUCACAACAACGCAUCGUGACUAUGACAACACAACUAAACGCCCCGUAAAUACAAAACUUGGCAACACAACGCAAAAGCCUUCCCUCCAGGUUGUAACAACACAACCACACCAAAAAACCACAAUUCGGACCCAUAAAACUCACAACAAUGCAUCGUGACUAUAACAACACAACUAAACGCCCCAGAAAUACGAAACUUGGCACACAACUAAAAGCCCCAGAAAUAUAAAACUUAACAACACAACGCAAAAGCCUUGCCUCCCGGUUGUAACAACACAACUACACCACAAAACUACAAUCCGGAUCCACAAAACUCACAACAAUGCAUCGUGACUAUAACAACACAACUAAACGUCCCAGAAAUACGAAACUUGGCACACAACUAAACGCCCCAGAAAUAUAAAACUUGACAACACAACGCAAAAACCUUGCUUCCCGGUUGUAACAACACAACCACACCACAAAACCACAAUCCGGACCCACAAAACUCACAACAAUGCAUUGUGACUAUAACAACACAACUAAACGCCCCAGAAAUACGAAACUUGGCACACAACUAAAUGCCCCAGAAAUACAAAACUUGACAACACAACACAAAAACCUUUUCUCCCGGUUGUAACAACACAACUACACCACAAAACCACAAUCCGGACCCACAAAACUCACAACAACGCAUCGUGACUAUAACACAACAAAACGCUCCAGAAAUACAAAAUUUGACAACACAUUGCAAAAGCCUUGCCUCCCAGUUGUAAGAACACAACCACAACACAAAACCAUUCUGGACCCACAAAACUCACAACAACGCAUCAUGACUAUAACAACACAACUAAACGCCCCAGAAAUACAAAACUUGGCAAAACAAUGCAAAAGCCUUGCCUCCCGGUUGUAACAACACAACCACACCACAAAACCACACCGGACCCACAAAACUCACAACAACGCAUCAUGACUAUAACAACACAACUAAACGCCCCAGAAAUACGAAACUGGGCAACACAACACAAAAGCAUUCCCUCCCGAUUGUAACAACACAACCACACCACAAAACCACCAUCCGGACCCACAAAACUCACAACAAUGCAUCGUGACUAUAACAACACAACUAAACGCCCCAGAAAUACAAAACUUGGCACACAACUAAACGACCCAGAAAUACAAAACUUCGCAACACAACACAAAAGCCUUGCCUCUCAGUUAUAACAACACAACCACACCACAAAACCACAAUCCAGACCCACAAAACUCACAACAACGCAUUGUGACUAUAACAAAUACAACAUUUGACAACACAACUCAUCCACCUCCCCAAUCCCUACAUUCACACUUGGCCUCCAAAAAAACAAUUACAAUAACAACAACAACAACAACAAUAAGAAUCAACACCAUCACAGGCAAGAAAGAGCCAGGCACUGAGGCUGAGAGGCCAGUCAGUGCUACACUGGGCCUCCAAAAAACAAUACAGUAGCAUCUAACUUAUCCAACCUUCAUAAUCACUACAACAACAAUAAUAAUAAACACCUACACAGGCAAAACAAAAAAAGACUAUUGUACCACAAUAAAAAUAUAAACCGCACUCAGCAGAAUCAGACAUUACAAUUAACAACAAACCAAAGACAACAGGGAUCUCAAGCAAUUAUCAAUCAACACAAAAAUUGAAGAAGGUAACAGACUUCAAAUACUACUACUAAUGUGAGUAUAAAGAAGGGUGGAGGUCACAGCAUCAAUACAACCUAAUGUAGACUGACCAACACCACCAGACUAAGCCACAGCAACGCGUGGCCGGGCACAGCUAGUAAACUAUAAAAAUGUGGCUGUGCAAUGCGUUAAGACAAUAUAAUCUCAGCCAACCUCAUCAGGCAUAGUAGAAGCAAUAAGAAGUUAAUAGAAGCUAAUCAUUCUCUUUUCCGAAGCCAGUGUACUGAAGUGUGUUUUUAAUUGCUUCUUGAAGGAGAGGAGUGAGGAAGCUGAUAUUAUUUCCAUGGGGAGGGAGUUCCAGAGGGAGCGCCAUAGAGAAGGCCCUCUCUCUCAUUCCUACCAACUGCACUGGGACCGAGAGCAAGCCCUCCUCCAAUGACCGCAAUGUCCAUGUAGGUUUAUAAGCAGAGAUGGGGUUAAUUAAGUAGCCUGGACCCAAACCAUUUAGGGCUUUAUAGGUAAUGACACCACUUUGUAUUUAGCCUGGAAGAGGACCAGCAGCAAGUGGAGCUGUGGGGUGCUCCAGUUAGCAACCUGGCUGCCCAUCUUUGGACUAGUUGACGCUUUCAGACGCUUCCACAAGGAAAGAGUUGCAGUAGUCCAGACUGGAUGUAACUAAGGCAUGGACUACCACGGCCAGAUCUGCCAUCUCAAGGAUCAGUGAUGAGUCCAAGAUUACCCCCAGACUGCAAAGAGAGGCAUGUACAAGAAAUGGAAGAAAGCGGAAAUAAUCAAAGAAGAAUACUACCAUAUCCUCAGUACUUGUAUAGAAAAAAAAUCAGAACUCAAACUCAGGAUGACUUUGGGACAGAGCCGGUCCAACAAUGAGGCAAAUUAAGCAGUCGCUUGGGGCGCAAAACAUAUAGGGGCGCAGUUGAGACUGCUUUUUCUGUUUAAUUCUUAUAAAACAUGAUGUUUUGGUGCUUAAUUUGUAAAAUCUUAAUGUAAUUUGAUGUUUAGUAGGCUUUUCCUUAAUCCCUCCUUAUUAUCCAACAUUUUCUCUUAUCCAACGCUUUUAUUUUUCAGUAAUUGGUUGGGGGGGGGGGCACCAAAAUUCUAUUCGCCUACACUUGAAAAAUACCCAGGGCCGGCUCUGCUUUGGGAUUGCAAGAGAAGUUAAAAAUAAUAAGGUUUUGUCAACAUUUGAGCAAGAAGAAGAAUAAAGAAAUGUUGGGGUCACUGAUGGAAUGGAAUGGUGAAAUGUCAGUUUAGUAAAAAAGCACAAUAUUAAAACAAUAUGCAGUCAUUAUAUGAAACUGCUCAAUGCCUAUUUUACCUUGAUCUUCUCCUCAAAAGAAAACAGUACUAAGAGCAUACAAUGUACUUAAGUGAAUGGGUAAAGAGGUAUUACAAAAAUACAUGGCUGCUAUACGGUAUCCAAGGGAACAAAAGGAACUUAGAUCCUGUGGCUACAAGUAAAGCAUCCCUUAUCCAAAAUUCUGAAAUAUUCCACAGUGGUCCACAUGAGUGGCUGAAAUGACAUAUUUUGCUUUCUGAUGGUUCAGUAUAUGCAAACCUAGUUUCCUGAACAAAAUUAUUUAAAAUGUUGUGCGUAAAAUUACCUUCAGGCUAUGUUAUAAAAUGUACAUGAGACAUAAAUGAAUUUCAUGGUUAGACCUGGAUGCCAUCUCCAGGAUAUUUAAUAAUAUACAUAUUUGCAUAUGUUCCAAAGCAUUUUAGAAAGAGAUCUUCAACUUAUAUAAUCUUUGAGAAUUGGGAGCACUUCCUAGAAGUGCUUUAGCUGUGUAUUACUGCAAGGGAUUAGACUAAUGUCCUUUGCAGCCCCUUUCAACUCUAAAAGUAAUAUGAGUAAUAGAAUUGCUAUUUUAAUACAUUUCUGAUUAAGAUAGAUGGGAUAUGCAGGUGGUGAACUGUAUUCGAGAUCAACCAAAUGUAAAACUUCACAACUAUGCUGGAAAAGAAAUGUCUUUAAAGGACCGGUUUCUAGCCAUCACCCUCAAAGCAACUAUGUUUGGACUUUUAAAAAAAAGUCUUUAUUAUUUUACAGCAACUGAUUGGUAGUAAACAGAAUAACUUGGUAACAUAGAAGAGAAUACUUCUGGAACAUGGCCACACAGCCCGAAAGACAUACAACAACCCAUAGAAGAGAACAUUUUGCAACAUGCUUACCCCAUCACAUGUUGCAAAAAGUAAGACUAUCCACACUUACUUUUUUAAAUGAAGGGAUACCUAGCAGCUUCUGGACUGUGCAGGGGAAGAUGGCGCGAGUCUUCUCUGCUUCAACCACUUGUUCUUCUAGGAAGGAAACAUGGCAUGCCACCAUUUUUACAAAGGCCUACAAAAUAUUGGGAAAGAAAUAAAGAUAAUUGAGCCCUAAAUCAAUUUAAACUUGAGGCUGUCCACCUUAGAGCUUACAAGCAGAGUUUGGGAAAAAGGCUUUUUGGGCAAACAUUCCCAGAAUCUGUGAACUGGCAUGACCAGUGUCUGUAAUAACUGACCUCUAGAUAACUACAAAAUGUGUGCAGGUGUAGUAUAAAGCAUUGGCUAAGUAACAACAUUAUCUAUAACACAUUACAGUUUUGGGCUUAGCAAAAGCAUAAGAUCAUCCCAUUUGAAAAAUACAAUAAUCUAUCAAUUGAUAACAUUAUUACUUUUCUUAUUAAUAUUACUCAUUACUGUUGACUGAUGCAUUUGAAGGGAAAAACUCUAAUAAAACAGAAUCAUAAAGUUGGAAGAAGACCUCGUGGGCCAUCCAGUCUAACCCUCUGCCAAGAAGCAGAGAAAUCACAUUCAAAGCACCCUUGACAGAUGGCCAUCUGCUUAAAAGCAUCAAAGAAGGCACCUCCACCACAGUCCAGAGCAGAGAAUUCCACUACUGAGCAGCUCUCACAAUAAGGAAGUUCUUCCUAACGUUCAGGUGGAAUCUCCUUUCCUGUAGUUUGAAGCCAUUGUUACACGUCCUAGUCCCCAGGGCAGCAGAAAACAAGCUUGCUCCCUUUGGGGGGGGGGGGGGAAUAACAGGUGGCCAUAGGGUUAGGUGAGGGCAUCAGAAUGAGUUGCACAAAAAUUGUUAAUAUUAAUCUUCUAGUCUCUCCUGAUCUAUUGCUUGCUUCAGUAACCAUAGUGGUUCUUCAUGGAGAUGGACGUGUUGAAUCAAUGCAUGGCAUGUGCAAAGUGAACACCGGCCAAGCCUCUUCUAACUGCAGAAAGUUCAAAUAAAAGUGAAGGAGCCAAUGAUGUACAGCCACCAUUAGUGGCACACUGAUUUCUCAAGGUCUAGUAUUAAUAAUCUCUCCCACCCAGCCACUGGGAAAUUAUUUCCAAUUUGAGUUAAAUGGCACAGCCCAAUGGUUGAAUGGAUGCAGAUUUCCUCCAGCAAGCUUUGCCGAUUUGCAAAUGGGUGUGACUACAUAAUUGAUUUUCCAUCUAAAAAGUACCUGAUCCCCAAAAGAAUUUAAAACAAUUAAAAUUAAGAGUUAUAUUGAAAACACAUUGAUUGGCACCACAACUAUUGAAGCACACUGAAGAAAAGCGAAAUAUUACUUUUAAUAAAUAAGGCACUACAACUAGAAAUACUGAAGUGGUUUUCUGAGUCUGCAGUAUUCCUCUUCAGAACUACUCAGGUACAGUGGUACGGUCAUAAACAUGUAACUUUAGCAUUUAAAAGCGAAGAACUGACCAAUAUUUUAUUACUGCUGCCAAUUUCCUUUUCUGCCAAUGGGGCUGCUAAGGGUUAGUUCAUGUCCUGGGGCAAAUUCUUUUCAGGCAAGUUUCUUAGCAGUUCCCUAGCAACAGAUCUGCAUGAUGGGUGGGGCUUCCCAGAAACACAUUUAGCUUGGUAGGCAAGCAUCUCUGAAAUGGAGGACUGUGGCCAAGAAGGCAAGGAGCUCUCUGGCAGCAGGUUAGAACCCCUGCUUGACAAGCUAAAUUGUUUAUGGAAUUUCAAGUGUUGCACCUAACUGUGAUUUUAUUUUUAAUCCACCAGUUUUACAAUAGAAGCCCAAACCAAUCAACAACUACUACUGUUGGGGAAGACAAAAAAUAUAAGCAACAUAUGGGACCUUGGCAUGUUUCCAAAAUGCUGGACUCCGGGAAAUUGGGGUCAUCUUUUCAGCCCUGGUUGCCAAACCUGUUCUCAACAACACCUAAUCACAUGUACUCUUAAGGUUUUCAUGUAUUUUUCAAUGCAAACAAUCAGAAUGGCUGUUAGCAUUCCAUGGGAUACUGCAAUUGUGCUUUUCUUACAUGGCAGAGGGUUGGACUAGAUGGCCCAUGCGGUCUCUUCCAACUCUAUGAUUCUAUGGCAACUCAACAGGCUUCAUUUUAAUAUCUCUGACCCAGAGUGCUCAUCAUCAACAACUAUAAAGCUAGGAAAAUAGCAGUCAUUCAUAUAUAUUUUUUCAGCCUGCCUCAUUUGGUGUUUCACUUCCCCACCUAGCUCCUUUUUUGCAGUUCUGUGUUUUACAUUUGAUUUAUCUUUCUGACCUUUCUAUAGUCAUGAAAGGUUUUUGAAAAGAUUGCCUAAAACAUUAUUGAGGACCAAGUGGAAUACAACAUACUAAUCACUGUACCAGCAUGGCAUAAUUUUUAAUCAACGUUUUGCAAUGUAAGAUGUAUUUUACAUUCCUAUGUAACAACCCUGCAGAAAUAUUAGGGACAUUUAAAAAAAAAUUUAGGCAGCAACACAUUUGUAGAAGGCCAAUUUGUAUAUCCCAACAUGCACAAAAGAAGCAUUUUCGAAUGUGUGCUCUUUUCAACAAACAUUACUAACCUCUAGUUUAUCCACUUGGGUGUAAAUGUUGUUCAUUUCUAUCAUUUUGGCUCUAAUAAGUGGAGUCAUUUCAUCCAGAAGUUGGGUUGUAUCAGUUCUAAUCUGCACAAGUUAUAAAAAAAGUAUCAGAAAGUUAUCAAUAAAUACCAGAAAUUAAUAUUUAGAAAUGUAAUAAAUGUUAUUUUCCUUAGAGAAGUACCAUAAACUUUUCUUUUGAAAAUUUAGUGUUCAGGCAUUUCAUAAUGUUCAGACUACAGAUCAGUCCAAAUGCAGUUGUAUUCAAAAGUGCAACAGUAUCAGAUGAUUCUUAAUGAAUUACCAGCUCCAAUUAUUAGGAAAAUCACAGAAACUGCACAACUACAGGCCACACAUCAAAUCAACAAUAUACAUGCUCGCAUCUUACCUUUAGAUCACAACAUCUCCAGCUGGUUUUCCAUGUCCUUCAGACCAGUGGUUCUCAACCUGUGUAUCCCCAGAUGUUUUCGCCUUCAACUCGCAGAAAUCCUAACAGCUGGUAAACUGGCUGGGAUUUCUGGAAGUUGUAGGUCAAAACACCUGGGGACCCACAGGUUGAGAACCACUGCUUUAGACAAUCUAUUACUCUUUUCAAAACCCCACAAAGGAAAUUCUGCACAAUACACCAACAAACACUAAAUUGGAGAAAGCUAGCAUCACAUGCACUGCCAGCUCCACCAUUAACUUCACUACCUCUGUAUCUAAACUAGAUACAGAGUCUUACAGGAUCUUAAAGACUAACCUACUUAUGGCAUAGACUCUAAUUCACUAUUCGCUGCAAAAGCUAAUGUGAUAACAGAAUAUGUUUGUGGGCUGGAUGAGGAAAAACAAAUUGAAACUGAAUCCAGAUAAUACAGAAGUGCUUGGCAUUAAAAGUCCUAACCUGGGGAUAGAGAUGUGUCACCCAAUUCUGGAUGGGGUUAUAAUACCCUGAAAUACUUUGUUUGCAGCUUGGGACAUGGGCUCUCCAAAUGUCAGCUCAGGCAGAUGCGACGGUCAGGAGUACUUACUACUGGCUUUGGCUGAUACACCAUCUGCACCAUUUCCUAGAUUUGGAGAACCUAAAAAUGGUAGUGCACAUGCUGGUAACUUUAAGGUUGCACUUCUGCAAUGCGCUUUACAUUGGGGUACUUUUGUACCAAGUUGAAAAACUCCAGUUGGUUCAAAAUAUGGCAGCCAGAUUGGUUACAGGAACAUGGAGGAGUGAGCAUAUUGCACCUAUCCUAAAGUCACUCCACUGGCUGCCAAUUAGUUUUUGGGCAAAGUACAAGGUGUUGGUUUUGAUCUUUAAAGCCCUACAUGGUUUGGGUCCAGGUUAUCUACAGGAUCGCCUUCUCCCGUGCAAUCCACCCCAAACACUGAGGUCCUCUGGGGAGUGUCUGCUCCAGCCUGCCAGAACUUGACUGGAGACCGUCACCCAGAAGACUUUUUCAUCGGCCACCCCAAGACUAUGGAACGACCAGCCAGAAGAGCUCCGACAGCUAAAUCAAAAUUUAAAACACAUCUAAAGCCCUAUCUCUUCUGGCAGGCCUACACCGUCAGUUUUGAUUAUGACUGUUAAAUCACAAUCUAUGUUUGUUGUGUUUUAAUUUAUGUCCCAGGUAAUUAAAUAUGUUUACAUUUUAA